rnacentral:rRNA from 1 species
UACGUAGGGUCCGAGCGUUGUCCGGAAUUAUUGGGCGUAAAGAGCUCGUAGGCGGUUUGUCGCGUCUGCCGUGAAAUCCCGAGGCUCAACCUCGGGUCUGCAGUGGGUACGGGCAGACUGGAGUGCGGUAGGGGAGAAUGGAAUUCCUGGUGUAGCGGUGGAAUGCGCAGGUAUCAGGAGGAACACCGAUGGCGAAGGCAGUUCUCUGGGCCGUAACUGACGCUGAGGAGCGAAAGCGUGGGGAGCGAACAGG